rnacentral:rRNA from 1 species
UACGGAGGGAGCUAGCGUUGUUCGGAAUUACUGGGCGUAAAGCGCGCGUAGGCGGCUUUGUAAGUUAGAGGUGAAAGCCCGGGGCUCAACUCCGGAACUGCCUUUAAGACUGCAUCGCUUGAAUCCGGGAGAGGUGAGUGGAAUUCCGAGUGUAGAGGUGAAAUUCGUAGAUAUCGGAAGAACACCAGUGGCGAAGGCGGCUCACUGGACCGGUAUUGACGCUGAGGUGCGAAAGCGUGGGGAGCGAACGGG